rnacentral:rRNA from 1 species
UGGGGAAUAUUGCACAAUGGGCGCAAGCCUGAUGCAGCCAUGCCGCGUGUAUGAAGAAGGCCUUCGGGUUGUAAAGUACUUUUAGCGGGGAGGAAGGCGAUAAGGUUAAUAACCUUGUCGAUUGACGUUACCCGCAGAAGAAGCACCGGCUAACUCCGUGCCAGCAGCCGCGGUAAUACGGAGGGUGCAAGCGUUAAUCGGAAUUACUGGGCGUAAAGCGCACGCAGGCGGUCUGUCAAGUCGGAUGUGAAAUCCCCGGGCUCAACCUGGGAACUGCAUUCGAAACUGGCAGGCUAGAGUCUUGUAGAGGGGGGUAGAAUUCCAGGUGUAGCGGUGAAAUGCGUAGAGAUCUGGAGGAAUACCGGUGGCGAAGGCGGCCCCCUGGACAAAGACUGACGCUCAGGUGCGAAAGCGUGGGGAGCAAACA